UCACAAUCACUAUCACAGAUCCAAAGCAUUCAGCUCAGCUCCCCUUAGCUCCUAGUGGCUGAGGAGAACAAAAGCAUCAGUGCAGCAUCUCAACAAGUUUUGCUGUAUUGCUGCCACACAAUACAGAUGUUUUGGUAGCAAAUGCAGCCUCCAUCCAAGGAUGUGCCUUUUGAAGAGGAGAGCAGCAGAAAUGCUUUCACCCAGAGAUGCAAACAAGCCUUGAGAGGGGCAGACAAGAUUUACCCAGGAAGCAAUAGGAGCCCUUGAGCCCCGAUGCCAAUAAUCCUCAUCUGGAGUCAGUCCCGUUGGCUCCAGCCACUGCUGAGCUUGCUGGUGGAGAAAACCACUGCAUUGGAUCAAAUCAAUGUUAAAGGAAACUUCACAGAAGUCAAUAGCUAGUGGUCAAGAAGAGUUGCCAGACUCUUGCUUUCUCAGUAACUAAUAAAAGUGCUUUUUAGCACAAUUAAUGUGAUGUCUUGCUGAAGACUGAAGGAAAUCGGAAUUGAAACAUUUCUAUUUUGACAGACUCAGUGGAAAACUUCUGUUCAGACUGGUAGGAAUGAGACCAAUAAAUUUCUGUAAAAACUUUCUGAAUUCAGCCUUCAAGAUAAUAGAUAGGCUGUUCUGACUGUGGAUAAAUAAACUCUGUUUUAGUAAGCGUUUAAAGACUUUCAGGAUGACGAAGUGGAACAUACUUCAAGUCUCCAAAGAUGGGAAGUGGCUUCUGAGUCAAAUACCAAUCCAUGCCAGGGCUCAUAUUUUAGACUGAGGUCACUCUUUUGUGACUUGCUGACAGUGGUUUUUUUUUGUUGUUGUUUUGCUGUUGUUGUUGUUUUUGUGUUUUGAAGGAAAAAAGAAGAAAGAAAAAAGAAAAAGAAAACAUCACAGGCUGAAAAUAACAGUAAAACACUCCGCAGCUGCAAACCUGCUCUUAAAAAAAGCUUCCCAGGGGACAUAAAGCUUCAGCUACAGCCCAGAAAACCAGCUCAUCAAGCAACUAGUGAGGUGGAAAACCCUAACUUGGGUGACAACAGGCCCACCUGUUGCUCAUUUCUGUCAAGGCACCAGAAGACGCCAGGAAAUCUUUGUUCCCACCAGCAAGUACUCAAAGGGCAGCCUCAAGGUGGGAGCAUCUCUCUGCCUUCCCAUUUUGUGAAGACCAUCUCAACUUGCAGCUCUUGCCUGCUCAGGCCAUCCCAAAAGCAGGUGGUGGAAAGGCUGGAUCAGUACCUUCUGGAAAAGCAAGGCAGGUCUCCC
rnacentral:lncRNA from 1 species